UGUUAGGGCACGACACCGGAGAGGGAGCCUGAGAAACGGCUACCACAUCCAAGGAUGGCAGCAGGCGCGCAAAUUGCCCAAUCCCGACACGGGGAGGUAGUGACAAUAAAUAACAAUACGGGGUUCUUUAGGAUCUCGUAAUUGGAAUGAGUACAAUUUAAAUCUCUUAACGAGGAACAAUUGGAGGGCAAGUCUGGUGCCAGCAGCCGCGGUAAUUCCAGCUCCAAUAGCGUAUAUUAAAGUUGUUGCAGUUAAAAAGCUCGUAGUUGAAUUUCGGGGUUAGUAGGUUGGUCAUGCCUCUGGUAUGUACUGGUCUCACUGAUUCCUCCUUCCUUAUGAACCGUAAUGCCAUUAAUUUGGUGUUGCGGGGAAUUUGGACUGUUACUUUGAAAAAAUUAGAGUGUUUAAAGCAAGCUAACGCUUGAAUACAUUAGCAUGGAAUAAUGAAAUAGGACGUUCGAUCUUAUUUUGUUGGUUUCUAGGAUUGACGUAAUGGUUAAUAGGGAUAGUUGGGGGCAUUAGUAUUCAAUUGUCAGAGGUGAAAUUCUUGGAUUUAUUGAAGACUAACUACUGCGAAAGCAUUUGCCAAGGAUGUUUUCAUUAAUCAAGAACGAAAGUUAGGGGAUCGAAGACGAUCAGAUACCGUCGUAGUCUUAACCAUAAACUAUGCCGACUAGGGAUCGGAUGAUGUUA
rnacentral:rRNA from 1 species